rnacentral:rRNA from 1 species
AGCGAACGCUGGCGGCAUGCUUAACACAUGCAAGUCGCGCGGGUGGUUUCGGCCAUCAGCGGCGGACGGGUGAGUAUCGCGUAGGAAUGUAUCCCGAGGUGGGGGACAACCCUGGGAAACUGGGGCUAAUACCGCAUGGGGCCUGUGGGUCAAAGCCUUAGGGCGCCUUGGGAGCAGCCUGCGUCCGAUUAGGUAGUUGGUGGGGUAAAGGCCUACCAAGCCUGCGAUCGGUAGCUGGUCUGCGAGGACGAUCAGCCACACUGGGACUAAGACACGGCCCAGACUCCUACGGGAGGCAGCAGUGGGGAAUAUUGGACAAUGGGCGCAAGCCUGAUCCAGCAAUGCCGCGUGGGUGAAGAAGGUCUUCGGAUUGUAAAGCCCUUUCGGCGGGGACGAUGAUGACGGUACCCGCAGAAGAAGCCCCGGCUAACUUCGUG